rnacentral:lncRNA from 1 species
AUGAAAGAUAAAAUUAUCAAUUGUACAACAAUUAAAAUAAUAUCUAAUGUCUUGUAUCCUCUUUCAGCAGUUGUUUUCUUUCUAGUCAGGAUGGCACAACGAAACUUUUAUUCACCCUGUUGUUUGUGUGGUGUGCUAUUAAUUCUGCGACUAGAGUUGGGUAAGUGAUUGUUUGGAUUUCAAUUAUGUGUCAUUACUAGUGGUGGGCAUAGAUUAAUUUUUUUUAAUCUAGAUUAAUCUCACUGUAAUCUUGGAAUUAAUCUAGAUUAAUCUAGAUUAAAAUGGCUAAUUUGAAGUAAAUCUUUGAGAACGGGUUUCUCAAACCAGGUGGCGCAUUAGACCAGGGGCUCAUCUCCUGUUUCCAAAAUGCAUCACAAACUGCUUGAGAAAGCUGUUUUACUACUAUAAUAAUUGGUGAUGAAAAUAAAAUAUGUUCAAUAAGAUGUACUUGUUAGUACUGAUAGAGCUGUGCUGCACUCAAACAUAGUAGUUUGACGACGACUCUUCCCCUGCGCUACAUCAGUGCUUGGCCCGGCAUCUUCCGCAUCAGCUAAGGGAUGCUUUGCGUUUAGGUGGUACUUGAGACUGGAAGAACUCCUACAGUAAACUAAUUCCGCAUUGCACAAGGUGCAAACAACCUUACGCCUGUUUUCACACAUACUCCGUCUGCAGUUGCAUAUUUUUUUACGCACCCAUGUAAACGGAUUCCAGCGUUCAUGCGGUUGCGGUCCGUCCGUGCGUUCCAGGAGCGGUGCGUCUGCAGCAGUGCAGCCAUCGUUUACGUACCGAAUCUAUUUUUGCUGUGCUGCACGCGCUGAAUUAAAGUGAUAGCACAUUGUCCGCGGUAGAAAAUUAACAUGGUUGACAUGGAAAUGCAGUAAUUUCACAAUAAUGUAUACUAAUUAAAGCCUACUGUGUUUCACAUGCAACACAUAGGUUUUUGGUUAGGUUUAAAACAAGAAAAAGAGCACCUUUAGAUAAACGAGGCAACAUAAUAUAUGCACUUUUAUGGAAGCAGAAAAACAAAGUUCAUGAACCGUGCAAUUGCUUGUAAUAAAGAUUUAAAUGCAACGAAGGCAACAUAAUAUAUGCACUUUUAUGGAAGCAGAAAAACAAAGUUCAUGAACCGUGCAAUUGCUUGUAAUAAAGAUUUAAAUACAAAAGGCACGAGAGUCGACUGUUUCUGCUAGUGGUGUUUUAAUUUUAAAUAUUUGCGAUAUCCUAACAAGAAAAGUAGGCUAAUUGUUGUGUUUAAAUGUUUUGCCGCUUGCUUGAGCAGCUUAUUAUACAAACCUAGAAGUCAAAUGUAUGAAUAUGUUGUUUAUAUUUAUUGAUUUUAAACUAAUAUGAUUAUGAAAGAUUGUUACUGUUCUGUGAUAAAAGAGUCACAAUGCUGAAAAUGAUUUUUUAUUUUAUUUUUACAUGAUUUGAAAUAUAAAAUAAUGAACAAAUGUUGUGUUUGUGGACUAAACAGCCGCGGAUCAGUAGCGGAGUUCAAACGCGUCCUGUGUGAAAGCACAAUGAGUCCGUGCUGCUUCUGCACCACACGCACACGGACUGCAUACGCACUGCAGACAGAGUAUGUGUGAAACAGGCGCAAGUCUUGUCGACGUUUCCAUUGGGAAGCUUCUUAAAAUAAUUUUUUCCCUGUAGCAAACCCGGCGGCUUCAUAGCUGCAUCCAUGUUAGCACGUCACGUUUGAUGUGGUAAUUUCACAGUAGGCAUACACACAGGUUUGAAGACUCGUUCUCGCCCCCUACAGUGCAAUUCGUCUAGGUAUACAUCCGCGCUAAACUAUCACGGUGAAAGUCAUCAUAGCUUGCGUAGUAUAGACCCAGCUCCCAACCCAACUUUGAGAAUAGAUUAACGGCGAUAUUUUUUUUUAUCGCCCGAUAAGAGUCUCACGAUAACCCUUGCCAGCCCGCUCAGAGAUGUGUAUAAGAGACAGCACAUAUA